rnacentral:rRNA from 1 species
CUGGUGCCAGCAGCCGCGGUAAUUCCAGCUCCAAUAGCGUAUAUUAAAGUUGUUGCAGUUAAAAAGCUCGUAGUUGAAUUUCGGGGUUAGUAGGUUGGUCAUGCCUCUGGUAUGUACUGGUCUCACUGAUUCCUCCUUCCUGAUGAACCGUAAUGCCAUUAAUUUGGUGUUGCGGGAAUUUGGACUGUUACUUUGAAAAAUUAGAGUGUUUAAAGCAAGCUAACGCUUGAAUACAUUAGCAUGGAAUAAUGAAAUAGGACGUUCGAUCCUAUUUUGUUGGUUUCUAGGGAUUGACGUAAUGAUUAAUAGGGAUAGUUGGGGGCAUUAGUAUUCAAUUGUCAGAGGUGAAAUUCUUGGAUUUAUUGAAGACUAACUACUGCGAAAGCAUUUGCCAAGGAUGUUUUCAUUAAUCAAGAACGAAAGUUAGGGGGAUCGAAGACGAUCAGAUACCGUCGUAGUUUUAACCAUAAACUAUGCCGACUAGGGAUCGGAUGAUGUUAAUUUUUUAAUGACUCAUUCGGCGCCUUACG